rnacentral:lncRNA from 1 species
UAGAGAAGCGGUUAAACGGGUUGGGGCUCUUGGGCUGAGGGUAUUGGAGCGGUUUGGUUUUUUGUUUUUACAUUGUUUUUGUUAAGAUUUGCUUCUCUGGUUGAUAGCUUUUAGGGGUGCCCUCCUCUCCAACACUAGGACCUCUGGGAUUUUGAAGAUCACAGUCUUCCUUAUGUCGUCCCUCCCCACCCCCACCCCCUCCGCCCGCGGCUAGCAGAUUUUUCCAGAUCCUUCUCCAUCCUCAGGACUCCCAAGUCUGGGCCUGUCUGGUGGCCCGCCCUGUGCACCCAGGCCCACAGUGUAAUAGCUGGAGACAGCCAGAUGUGAAGUGGCAAAGGUCGGCCUCCCCUGACUGUGCGGCCGAUGCCUAUGGUCCCAGGCGUGGGCACUUGAGUAGUGUGGGAAGAGAGGUCCAGGGAGUGAAAGCGUGGGCCCAGGAGGGAACAGUUUAGCCCAGGUGCACAAAUUGGACACAACUUUGCCCUCUCUGCAGCCUGGCAGGCCCACCGCAUGAGUUGCUUUCUAAAAUACCAUGAGCAGAUAUGUAAGAGACAAAGACUUGUAAGUGGGGUGAAGGAACCUUUUCUUCUCAACCUGAUGCUCCUAAGAGAUGCUUGUGGAGUUCCGAGUCCGUGUGGCUAAAACCAUGAAGUUCUGAUUACUGAAACAGUGAUGGCUUGGUCUGCUGACUUGAUGGAAGAUCUGUCUGGAGAGGUCCUGACUGCCCAGCCGGAUAGUACCACAGUUAUACAUAGAGCCUGGUGAGUGCUACCAGAUCUACCUAUUGUAUUAUUGGCUUUGUGAAUUUUCACUCCAGUGUAAUGAACUUUUUCCGUCUCCAUGUGCCCAGCAUGAUGCCGUUCGUUGUACUAAGCCAGAGAUGGCAUUAAGUAGGCAACAGGCUGUUUAUUAUAUGGGGCCUGCGAGAUUGUGCUUUUGAACCUAGGUUUGAUCCCUAACACCCACAAUGUUGGGAAAAGUCCUUCAACGUUGUCUUUUGACAUCCACACUUGUGCCCUAUUAUUCCUCCCAGAGGAGUGAAAUAAUAAUAAUAAUAAUAAUAAUAAUAAUAAUAAUAAUAAUAACUCUUAUUAUAAUGGUUUAAGCAUGUUAAAUAUUUUAUUGUAGUCCCUUCUGCUGGACUGUCGAACGGGAUGUAGAAGUAACCCAUUCUUUCCAGCAAUUUAUAGUCUUACGAGUUUAACCACAAUCUAAGACUCCUUUGGUGGCUAGAGACACUGCCAAAGAAUAUGGAAGGGAGUGAGUGGCUACUCCAGUAGGGAGGGCUCUUGUAUACCACUGGCUUGCACACGGUACUUAACUCUCUGUUGCUCUCCUAUAUACCUGUUGAUUGUGGGAGAGACUUUGGUUGACCCUGGGGUGUUAUCUGGCACAGCAAGUUGUGAUGGAGAAGCUAAGUACUAGCAGUGAGUUUGUGUCUCUUCCCUGAGAACAGCAUUGUGGGCCUAAAUCCUUUGAUCUCAUGCAGCACUUUCCAGCUGAGCACCAGCACGUGCCUGCUGGAACAGAGUAACCUCGGGUUAGAGUAGACGGUGCUUAUGGAUUAGCAGUAAGCAAAGGGUUGGCUUACCUUACAGUACGGCUGUCUUAAGUCGAGGCAGGUUGCCUCAUUUGUUAGCCUCUGUCUCUCGUCUGUGAGUCCUGUCAAUAGAGUGACCUAACACUUAGAAAGGAGGGAGUGUACCCGUGUGCCUAGUGCAGGUCUGAGCUUCCAGUGGUGAGUGGAUAAGUGAUGUGGGGGGGGGGACCGAGGUGAGCAUGGAGCACUUCGGUAAGAGGCAAGGUGGCAUGCAAGAUAUGAGGACAGGUGUCCAGUGAGAGGGCCCUCCCUCUGUGAUGCAGCUGUGGGAGGCCAACAGUCAGGCACUGAGGUCUCAGGGCAGGGCUGUGUGCAUUUGGAGUUUCUUCUGGUUGUGUAUGUCACUUCUCUUGGAAAAAAAAAAUUAAGGGUCUUUUUUUUUUUUUUAACCUUUUUAUUUUACCCAUAUGGGUGUUUUGCCUGUAUGUAUGUCUGGGCACUAUGUGCAUAAAGUGCUCAUGAGGCCUAAAGAGGGCACCAGAUCCCCAAGGCUGGUGUCAGAUCGCUGUGUGUUAUCAGGCAGGUGCUGGGAAUUGAACCUAGGUCUUCUGGAAGAAUGGCCACCUAAACCUUAUAUGUACUCAUCUAAGAAGGUAUCUUGGUCUCCUCCUCCACCCUUUUCCCCCUACUCAUUUAAAUAAGUCAUUGUGUGAGUGUGUGCUCAUACAGAUAUAGGUGUUUUUCUCUAGUCCUGUCCAUCUAAAAACUUAUUUACUGUUAUGGUACUGCAUGGUGUGUGUGUGUGUGUGUGUGUGUGUGUGUGUGUGUGUGUGUGUGUGUGUGUUUCAGCACGGAUGUCCCACAGCACGAGUGGAGGUCAGAAAACAACUUUGUGGAAUCAGCUCUCACCUUCCACCUUGACACAGAUCCCAGGGAGAGAACUCAGAACAUUAGGUUUGCACUGCCAAGUGUUUUUAGUGGAUGAACCCUUUCCAUCCACCCCUCCUUUUACCCCUCACAAACGCCAACACUCCCCUGCUCCAAGACAGUGUUUCUCUAUGGCUCCUGGCUGACCUAGAGCUCACUAAUGUAGACUAGACUGGCCUCAAACUCACUGAGAUACACUUGCCUCUGCCUCCCCAGGGCUGGGAUUAAAGGUGUGCACCUGGUUCUCAGUCCAUCCACCUUUGGAGACAAGGUUUGACACCGACACUGAUUGGCUGGUUGGAGAGCUCUGGAAUUUCUCCUGUUUCUUCUGAAAUAGGAAGUCCCUACCCUGCCCCUGCCCCUUUAAGUAAUAGGUUUCUUGUUUUCCUCUUCCAAGAUAUCUUUCUUAGAGAUUGAUGCUUUUUAAAUGUCUUGCAUUAAAAUUGUAAUUUUAUGUUUUCGAAGAAUGAUGGCACAGAAGAGAGAGGAACGUUGAAAACAAAAGAAAAGGAUUCUUCAGAGAAGAAACAGACAUGGAAACUAGAAAGUAUGGGACAGAUUUUCCCAGCAUGCAAACAAAAAUACUGCUAAAAAUGAUGAAAAAAAACUUAAAAAAAAAAAAAAAAACCAAAACAAAACCCAACGAAGUGAAAUGCAAGCAGGAGUCAGAUGGGAGGGCCAGCCUGUUGAGUGUUCUGCCCCCUGGUGUUGCAACACAACAGUGUUUUAUGUACUUUGCAGGUUGGAAGUCUUUCUUGCCUUUAGGUUUUCCAGUCAGCAUACAAAGUAGUGCUUUCGUAUGACCUUUAUUUAGAGGAACCACAUUUGUCUCGUCUUGUACCCUAUUCUCUCCUACUCCUCUCCCCAUUCUGUUUGUCCACUCUGUUUUCCCAAGAGGCCUCUCUCUCUCUGCUUCCACCUCCUAUACACACAUCUAUACAUUCGAUUCCACACGGGAGCAGAUGUAGGAUUUGUUCAAGUCUGGCUUAUUUUGCUUAGCAUAAUCUUUGGUUCCAUCCUUCUUUCUGUGUGGCUCAGUAGCAUUUCACUGUGCAUAUAUACCCAUUUUAAAACUCGCUGCACUCUUCGGCCUCUCCACAAUCAGUGGUUGUAAAGCAUGCAGCAGUGGGGCGGAAGCCCCAUGGCCACUUCAUUAAAUUCAGCCCUAGGUCUUUGUUUGCUGUUGCUUUAAAUGUCUCCAAAGAUCUUCUGUUUACUGCUGGUGCAUAAAAUGCAUUUUACGAGUUGGAGAAAUGUUUCAGCCAUUAGGCUCACAACCAAAACAUCAAAAUGCAUUUUACUUGCUAUUUUCAUAACAAGACUUCCUGUGUAACUCUUACUACUAUUUUUAUGUUUUGGAAGUGAGGUCUCAUCAUGUAUCCCACAGUGGCCUCAGACUUGAAGUCCUUGUGCCUCUGGCUUUCCAGAUGUUUGGAUUAAAGGCCUGUGCUACCAAGCAUGGCUUUUUUUUUUUUUUUUUUUAACCAUUUCCCACUGGGCAGUUCAGUGGCCUUUAAAUCUAAUGUAACGUUGUGCAACCACACAAUGUUGUUUUUUUUGUUUGUUUUUAUUGUUUGUUUUUGUUACAGUCUCCUAUAGCCUAGGCUGGCCUUGACUUCUCUGUGGCCCAGGGUGACCUUGAACUUCUGAUUCCCCUGCUUCUACCCCCCAGCUUCUGGGAGUGCGUACCAUCCUAGUUGGCUUCUUCUUGUUUUGCCAUAGGGUCUUGUUGAUCUCAAACUCAUACCCCCCACCUGCACCCCUAAUGCUGGUAUUCGAAGCACCCAUUGCCACAAUUCUUGUUCUAAGCAACAGGUUUGUGGUAAUUUGUUGUACCUGUUGUAUGUCCAAUACUCAGUGUUCAGCAAAGGAUGUGGACUGAGUCAUUGUGACUCUCAGUCCGUGUUGUUUAGUUCUACCAUAUUGUUUGCUGCGGAAGGGAGCUGGGUAUUGUAAGUGCUGGGACAGAAGGAGAAAGCCACCCCAGGAUGUACCUGAGUAUCUGUGGAGGAGGGGUAGAUGAAUCCGGUCCUGUAAGAGUUGAAGAUGUGAGAAUCCUGAAGUGGAGGCUGCUGGAUUCUGGGAACCAAGAAACUGGCCUCCGAGACACUUAAGUUGUAUCGUGUGGCUGGAUGGGGAAGAAAGGAACACUGAGGAAGAUCCUCCACCUCCUUCAGCUCCUUCUCCUCAGUUGUAGUGGGCAAGCAAAUGGUCCCACCUAGUUCCAUGAGCCAUGAUGAUUCUGUCAGCAAGGGAGUGGGAGUCUGGGAGGCCAAGGCCGCCUUCUCCUUGGACUCUUUGGUUCAUUUGAUUGCUUGGUGUAUUCACCUCCUACCCCUAAUGCUGGCUCGAGGAUAUUAUUGGAAGAUGUCGUGGGUAAGCAUGUUACUUAGUCUUAUCAAUAUUUUACCUUGUGCUGUACCCUGAAAAGACAGGGGCCUAGUUAGAGUGAGAUUGGGAUCAGGACUGUAGCACCAGGAUUCCAGAAUUCACUGUUGUGUGGAACCUAGGGCAGUAUACAGUUGUCCUCUGUAUCACCCCUGUCCUGAUGGCACAUUACUCAUGUGGGAUCAUGGUCUGGGUGGUUACCCAUGUCCCUUUGCUUCAGAAUCUCUGAGGCUUCAGGACCAGGACUCCAGGAUGCUUCCAGACCAGUGGUGACUUUCCUGUUUUCUUUCCUUCUAUCUUCCUUUGGGAAGCUCAAAAUCAAAAAGUCUUUGAGGACUACUUUCCUGAUCACUCUUCGAGACCAAGACUUUUUUUCUUUGCUGCCUAUGUCUGGUGUUCAGUGACUGUCAUAACAUUUCAGUUUAUCAUGGGACCUGGUCUCACAUGUUCCUCAGUUGUCUCAGUUAUGGGUGGGGUGCAUGUCUUGCUUUUUUUUUUUUUUCCUUUUUCUUUUUUUCAGAGCUGGGGACCGAACCCAGGGCCUUGCGUUUGCUAGGCAAGCACUCUACCACUGAGCUAAAUCCCCAACCCCAUGUCUUGCUUUUGAAUAAGAUUACCAACUUCCGGGCUCAAAUGGGAGAUGCCUGGGGCUUUGGACAGUUAGAAUCUGCUGCAGUGUGGAACAGGCAUUCAGUGUGUAAUGGAUCCAUCUGCAAGUGCCCCUCUGCUCCUCACUUGUUCUCCCUUCAUUUGUCUGAUCACUUAGCAAACACCUGUUUACUGAACUCCUGUGUGAGCUGUUGAAUAUUCGAAGACGGUGGCUGAUGGUCUCUCUGUCUCGGUUGUCUUGAGCAUCUAGUUAUUCAGGAGCUUUUUCUGCCUCUUUGCACUUCCUGUGAGUUUGGUUUCAAAUCAAACUCACUAGGCUGAGAUACCUAUUAACAUAUCAAAGCAGACACUGGCUGCCAGGUUCUCCCAGCAUCCCUCAGUCCCUAUCUGUUUGAGGUCCUCCUGGCUAGCAUACCCCACCCCCUACCCUAGUCUGGGCAUCCCGCCUCCAGCUCAACAGUCUUGCCCCUGUAUAAAUCACCAAAUUUGGUUACACCCAGCUCUUGACCCCGGCUGCCCCUCUUGGUCUGGCUCCUCUCUUGUCCUCCUUCCCCCUCCCAUGGCCCGGCUCAGUCUAGCUUCACUCUAGACUCUCCAAGAUGUCUCCAUCUCUACCUGUUUUCUCCCUUAUAUCUAUAAUAAAAAUUUCAGCCCCUUAGGAGCAGUCAUGUUCUCCUUUUAUUUCUUUUUCUCAUUCAGUUCACAGACGUGCAUCCAAUCCCAAGCUUCUCCCUACUCCAUUGUCUAUGUUAGGUGUUAGGCAAACUUCCAGACAAUUAGACCUGCCCUAGAAGCUGAGGUAGUGCUUCUCCUUACCAGAAGGGGGCAUGUGAGAUCACAUGACUUGGUGAAGCUGGGAGAUUCUAAUUGGAAUCUGGAUUUCGGUCAAAGAUUGAAAACCCAGAAGACUAAGGACUCCCUAUCUUACCAAAGGGGUCUAAGUUAAAAUAAAAAGUUGUUAGUGGUAAAGGUCGGGGUCUUAAUGUAUAAGCAGAAAUCACAGUGGACAGUGACUGCCUUUCUUGUUAAAACAGUAGAGGCAGUAACAGUGACAACAGGGUACAGUGAGGAACAAGGUAAUCCCAAGUCUGCUCUUUUGUGGGACAGGGUCUCCAACAACUGCUGACAUCUUAGACACAGGAACAGUGACAAAACUGGGCUACCAACCACUCAGGCAACUUGUCUCCAACAGCUGCCAGAUAACUAUACCACCAGCCAAGGGAGAGCCCAAACAUUGCAAAUGUCUCUCAGACCUCUCCACAGCUGCUGUUCCUAGUCCAAAGGUAGACCGUGUGCAGGCUGAUAGGUAGAGACAAGGAAGAUGGGUAAUCCUUGAGUCCAGAAGGGCAAAGAGAUGCUCUCUGUUUUCACCUAAUUUUUGAGUUAGUUGCUUAGUGUGAUAGGUUUCCUCUUUCAAAUUUGUUUUAAAAAUAUAUUCAAUGAUUUGUUUUCAAAAGGACAAAACCAAAAAAAAAAAAAAAGUCAGUCUUUCUCUUGCCAUUCCCCGUAUUUGUUGUCUCUAAAUCUUUUUGGAAAGCUUAAAUUCAGGUGCAGUAUAAACUGACUUGGGUUUGUAGCUCCUUAAGUCGAGAAUCAUCUGUGGUAAUCACAGCCUAGUCCUUAACAGUAACGUGACUACAGCAUGCUUUUGUUGUAUGAAAGCCUUUAUAAGUACAGAAAGAAAUCUCCUGUAGUCUGUGGUCAGUUAGUUUAGAUGGCAUUGUUUCCUUGAACCUGGGGGCAGGGAGUGGGGAGACAGACAGCAGCUGUUGAAUCUGUCAACAUCAUCUGCUAAGAGCAGAGAAUGUGAAUGUCUGCACUGGGAUGAAAGGCUGUUUGUGUGAGGGGACGGUAAGUCUAUCAAAGUAUGAGCAUACCUAGUUCGUCCUGUAGGAAGAAAAUGUCUUCUUUAUCCUCUGUGUUGCAAUAAUCAGACCUAGCAUUUUGUCUGGGAUGAUAAUGUGUAUGAUGCUGAUGUCAUCGCUCGUCAGUUUCCCACCGAGUGCUCCACAUGUUUCUAUGUCACGGGUAGUUUUAGUAUCAGUGAACUGGGGAAACUCUGUGUAGGGUGUAGAUCAAGGUACCAUACAUAGUGUGAUCCACUUCUGUCGCUCAGCACUCAAGGUCUCAGAGGCCUGUCCACUACUGCUGUCCUGUCCACCUUCUGGCUGUGUUAACAGUCUGAAGCCUGCCGAUAACACAUGAGCUGUGAGUACUCCUCAAAGGCCUUUUCUGAGUCAGGCCCUAGCAGCCUCCGGGUCUGGUCCCACCUUGCUAAACUCUUGCUCAAUUUUUAAUCACUCUUUUUUCAGUUCCUGGUUCUGGAUCAUCUCCUCAAAGGCAUGGAACUGUUUCUGUUCUAGCUGGUGCAGCUUUUGCUCUCUUUCCCCAGUGCUUGCUGGAUGGCCAUGUGCUGUCCAUGUGCUGGGGGCAUUCUGACCCUCCCACCUUCUCUGUAUAGUUUUCAUUUACUUUGGUGUAUGUCUCCAAACCCACUUUAGCCCCUCUGCCUAGGAAAAGCAAGUCCGGUAAUUCCCUGACUGUCAGGAACAGCAUCUCCUUUUGAUCCUGGUAUCCAGGGCCUUGGUGCAUGAAGGACUUGAUGCACUUGCUGUAGAGGAUAAGGGAAUGUUCAAUGUUGCUUGCUCCAAAGUAAACGGAUGCUCCAGAGUGGGUGUGCUGGCAGGGUGGCGUAUUGGAUCUCACUGCAUUCUCAAGCUGGGGAAGCAUCUUCACCCUGUCUCUGAGUGGAAGGGCGAUGGUCCCAUGGUCAGGCAUCAGGACCAAAAGCCUCUGAUUCAGAUUUCUGCCUUCAGAAUACAGCUGCAUUGGAAGACUCUGUUGUUCUGAGCGCCAUCUUGUUUGAAGACGGGUAUCUCCUGACACAGAGAAGAGGUAAUAAUGUCAGUCACAGCUACAAGGGAUUAAGGAUUCAGUAAUAUGGUUUGUCAGGGUUGCUGAAGCUAAAUACCAUGUGUCUCCAAUAUGGAGACUAGUCACUAGUCACUGGUCACUUGGGAUUAUCCGAUUUAUUUGUGGACAAUUUCACAGAAGUUUCCAAGUUCUAAUGGGUGUUGAUAGGUUUAGAGGGCAGAUGAUUUUAUAAAGCCAGCAGUAGCCAGUAGGAAUGUCUGAUAUCUAGCCAGAAGAUGGGAUUGGGUGGAGAGAAUGGCAGGAGAACUCAGCUGACUGGCUGAGUCUAGGCAGGUGAAAGCCUGCUAGGCAGGUACGACAAUCCUUUCCUCGGGCUCCAUGCUUAGGCAGAUCAGCUCAGUGUUUCUUAUAAGUGUUCAUUAACAGAGUUACCUAUAAUUUGCAGGUGAUAUUUUCAUGUGGGUCCCCAAAUAGGGAAGACCAUAGUCUUAAGGAGCAAGACAGCCAUGGGAACCCAGUGCCAAGUGUGGGCUGAGUGCUAAGGUAGGAGGUCCUUCAGGGGACUGUGAUGCCUUAAGAAGCGAUAGGAAAGAAGGUACUUGAACUGAGUCUUGGAAGAUGAUAGGUAUUUUCCAGUGCACAAGGCUAGGAGGGGCAUCCCAGGUAGGCCAGAGCACAGCUUUACAUAUGCUUGACUAUUUAAAGAGAUAGGAAGUUUAUCCUGCCCAAAGUUCUUCCCUCUCCUCUCUCCUUUGAAGCGGACUCUAUUUUCAGUAUGAAGGACUUUUAACCUUUGAAGUCUAAAACUUGAGAAGGAGUCUACAGGCUUCCUUCCACUUUCUGAUUGGAUUUGAGGCCCAUUCCACAGAAGGAAAUCCACAUUUUAUACUACAAACCUGGUCAGAAACUCACGGCUAAGGAGAUCGUGAGUGGGGGAAGUUACUUCUGAUGUUUGAAUGUGAUGUGCCCACCAAAUACUUUCCAUGUGUUGUGUGUGGCCUUGCCCAUGGCCACAUUCUGCUGUUUGCUCUGGGCAGCACCUAGUGAAGAGGUCACGACUGGGAAAUGAGUUGGGGUGCUCAGUCCUAGGGGACAUCUCUCUUACCCCAUCCAAGGCUCAGGGACAUCAUGGACGAGGGAGUGGAGGAAUGUAUGGGUAGAGGAAGGGUUAGAGUGAUUGGGACACUGUCAUCUUCUGGGCAUUAUAUAACAGUUACCCUCUCUGACUUCCAGAAGCUCUGAUUACCUACACAAAACCGGUGUAAGAUUUGGCUCACCAACAUUCUACCACAGAGCAGGGAACGUCUUGUGAGGAUUUAUAGGAAGUUAAAGGUUGCUAGGGGAGAGAGUCUCAAAAGCACACUCUUUCCCUGAGGAUCUGUGGGCAAUUAGGGGGUUUUGGGAGAGUUAGAAAUACUUGGUUUAGUGGUGUAGCUACUCGUGAGUGUCCUGUGCCUUCAGUUGAUUCGCCAAGGGCAAAAGUGAAGAGGACCAGCAGCAGUGAGGGGCCAAGGGGGGGCCAUGGGUAUGAAUGGGGUCAAAGUGUAUCGCAUGAAUGGAAUAGCAAAGUGAAACCCACUGGUUUGUUAUUAGCAUAUUAAUAAUACGUUAAUAAAAUGAAAUUAAACAACCAAGCAAGCAACUUGGCACAUUAAGAGAGUACCCGUAGGGCUUAGUCCUCACAACAUUGGAGGAGUCUAUUAAACUGGGAUAUGUUACUAGGGAUGUAGCUCAGUGAGAGAGUGCCUAUCUAGCUUAGCGUGUACAAACCUCUGAGGAUAGCCUCAGAACUGUAAACAACUGCUUUGUAAGUGGCAGAUCUGGUAACAUGGUCCAUGUAGACUGUGGAGUGUACAGCAGAGUCCUUGGAAGAACAUGAACGUUGUCUGCCACACUCUGGAUAUGUCACUCUUUUGAUGGCGCUCUUUAUUUGCAUUUACAUAUGUGUAUAUGUAUGCAUUCACACGGAUAAAUAAAUGUAUGUGUAGUAUACAUAUAGUCUGCCUCCAAGACUAUUUAUGUGUGCAUAUAUCCACAUGUGGUUAAGGUGUGUAAAAUUAUAGGCAUUUCUUAUAAUUUUCUCUUAUUUUUCAAAAGUAUGUUUUAUUUUUACCUAAAAAAAUUUAUGAGGGCUGGAGAGAUGGCUCAGCGGUUUUGAGCACUGACUGCUUUUCCAGAGGUCCUGAGUUCAAUUCUCAACAACCUCAUGGUGGCUCACAAGCAUCUGUAAUGGGAUCUGAUGCCCUCUUCUGGUGUGUCUGAAGACAGCUACAGUGUACUCACAUACAUAAAAUAAAUCUUAAAAAAAUUAUGAGCAUUUUGCCUGCGAGAAUGUCUCUGUACCACAUGUGUGCAGUGCCUGCAGGAGCCAGAAGAGGGCGAUGGAGACCAAGGUUUUGAAUGGUUGUGAGCCACCAUAUGAGCUCCAAUUGACUUCAGUCCUUCCUACAAGAGCAGAUGGUGCUGUUAAACACCAUGCUAUCAUCUCUGUAGCAACUUGGUAUUUUCCAAAAUAAAAACAAGAAUUAUAUCACAUGUCUGAAAGCCAAAGGGA